GGGCGCGUGGUGGAACGGCAGACACGCUGGCUUUAGGUGCCAGUGCUUCGGCGUGAGGGUUCGAAUCCCUCCGCGCCCA
rnacentral:tRNA from 1 species